GAGGGUAUAGCUGAGUGGUAGAGCAGGCGCCUUGCAUGCAUAAGGUCCUGGGUUCAGUCCCCAGUGCUUCA
rnacentral:tRNA from 1 species